CCUACGGGUGGCUGCAGUCGAGAAUCAUUCACAAUGGGGGAAACCCUGAUGGUGCGACGCCGCGUGGGGGAAUGAAGGUCUUCGGAUUGUAAACCCCUGUCAUGUGGGAGCAAAUUAAAAAGAUAGUACCACAAGAGGAAGAGACGGCUAACUCUGUGCCAGCAGCCGCGGUAAUACAGAGGUCUCAAGCGUUGUUCGGAAUCACUGGGCGUAAAGCGUGCGUAGGCUGUUUCGUAAGUCGUGUGUGAAAGGCGCGGGCUCAACCCGCGGACGGCACAUGAUACUGCGAGACUAGAGUAAGGGAGGGGGGACCGGAAUUCUCGGUGUAGCAGUGAAAUGCGUAGAUAUCGAGAGGAACACUCGUGGCGAAGGCGGGUUCCUGGACAGUAACUGACGCUGAGGCACGAAGGCCAGGGGAGCGAAAGGGAUUAGAUACCCUGGUAGUC
rnacentral:rRNA from 1 species